rnacentral:rRNA from 1 species
UACGGAGGGUGCGAGCGUUGUCCGGAAUCACUGGGCGUAAAGGGCGCGUAGGCGGCGCGGGGAGUCAACGGUGAAAGCUCGGCGCUCAACGCCGAGUCGGCCGUCGAUACUCCCGUGCUUGAGCACUGUAGAGGCAGGUGGAAUUCCGGGUGUAGCGGUGGAAUGCGUAGAGAUCCGGAAGAACACCGGUGGCGAAGGCGGCCUGCUGGGCAGUAGCUGACGCUGAGGCGCGACAGCAUGGGGAGCGAACAGG